GGAGAGAUGGCCGAGUGGUUGAAAGGCGUAGCAUUGGAAAUGCUAUGUAAACUUUUUUUGUUUACCGCGGGUUCGAAUCCCUC
rnacentral:tRNA from 1 species